GAUGAACGCUGGCGGCGUGCUUAACACAUGCAAGUCGAACGAUGAAGCCUAGCUUGCUGGGUGGAUUAGUGGCGAACGGGUGAGUAACACGUGAGUAACCUGCCCUUGACUCUGGGAUAAGCCUGGGAAACUGGGUCUAAUACCGGAUACGACCAUUGCCCGCAUGGGUUGGUGGUGGAAAGCUUUUGUGGUUUUGGAUGGACUCGCGGCCUAUCAGCUUGUUGGUGAGGUAAUGGCUCACCAAGGCGACGACGGGUAGCCGGCCUGAGAGGGGGACCGGCCACACUGGGACUGAGACACGGCCCAGACUCCUACGGGAGGCAGCAGUGGGGAAUAUUGCACAAUGGGCGAAAGCCUGAUGCAGCGACGCCGCGUGAGGGAUGACGGCCUUCGGGUUGUAAACCUCUUUCAGUAGGGAAGAAGCGAAAGUGACGGUACCUGCAGAAGAAGCGCCGGCUAACUACGUGCCAGCCGCCGCGGUAAAAC
rnacentral:rRNA from 1 species